rnacentral:rRNA from 1 species
AUACGAACCGGACAAACGUUAUUCGGAAUUAUUGGGCUUAAAGGGUGCGUAGGCGGCUUUGUAGGUGGGGUGUGAAAUCCCUCGGCUCAACCGAGGAAUUGCGCCUCAAACCCCAAGGCUCGAGGGAGACAGAGGUAAGCGGAACUGAUGGUGGAGCGGUGAAAUGCGUUGAUAUCAUCAGGAACACCAGUGGCGAAAGCGGCUUACUGGGUCUCUUCUGACGCUGAGGCACGAAAGCUAGGGUAGCGAACGGGAUUAGAAACCCCAGUAGUCC